CAACGCGCAGAAAGAUCCUUUUGUACUGGUUUUAUAUCGGAUUGUCUACUUUUCCAAAAUUGCCAAGGUUUGCUCAGAAAUAUCGUUCAAAGUGGAUCUUCCAUCUCAUUUAUCGAAUCGAAGCUUUCACUACGGGGAAAUUUUGUUAAUGAAAGAAAGGAAUGGUAAUGAUGCGGUGCAAAGCUUGCAGAGCACAAAGGACGAGGUAGAAUAUGCCAAUCAAAUUGCAAUAGUUUGUUUCGGGCGGCUGAAGAUACGCGGUGCUUAGCGUUGGUGGAAAAGAACGCCCACGCGUCUUUGCUAAUUCCAACUGUUUCGUGGCGAUUGCUAUCUCAAGUUUACCUUAAGCUGGACAAAUUGUAAAGUACAAAUUAAAUAAUUAAAAUAGAGAAAUAGAGAAAUAGCUAGAAUUCAAGUAAGUUCGUAUUCGUUUGAUUAAGAAAAUUUCUUCAAAAGCUCGACUCAUUGGACGGUAUAAAAUCCCGGUUGAUCAAUAUUUUCCGAGCAAAGCAGAGAAAUUUCGGAAAAAUAGCAUCACAAGGCUUUGGAAGCGAUGGAAGAGAGCGAUAAAUCAGAGAGAAACGUAUAUAAUUCGAUAAUAUUGUAGAGGACAUGAAAUAUCGUACACCUAAUGUCCAACGAUAAAACGACAAGAACUUGUGGGGCAACCCUUGACAGAACUUAACGUUUCUAGUGCCGAACAACGAUAUAUCGUUGUUAGCAACACUUGCGAAAAGGAGCAACGGCGAUAUAUCGUUGCGUAUGCGACGGCGCCUUACUAUUCGCAUCGCGAGACAACUUUAUCUCAAAAUAAAUUUGUAAAACGUUAUAAAUGGUUGAAUUUCUCUGCGGAAGCUCUGUGUGAGAUGUUCUACAAAUUGAAAAAAUUGCUUAUGGGUUUAACUUUUUGUUAUAUUCCGCGAUACUUGAUACCGAGACUGUGUAUACGCCAAUGCCAUAAGAUGGAAAUCCGAUACGGGAGAUUUACUUGAGGCCAUAGUCACAGGUUUCAGAUAACACUGUUUAGAACAGAAUAUCUCCUUAUGUUUCACAAAAUAAUCUUGCAUCGACAGGACGAGAGUACAAUUUUUGGCAGGCCUGUGCGAACAUCGCGCACAAUUUGUAAUCUGUGCAAUAAAGAAUUACAUGGUGUUUAUUACAUUAGUGAUCAUCAGUACUAAGUAAAUUAUUUGUGUCAGUGAUGAUAAUGAUGUUGUACUAGCUCACUUGUUCUGGAACAAGUAAUCCUCACGCUUACUACGCAUCAUGGGAUUAUCAUUUAGUUUUGUAUUUUAAUAUUAGAAAUUGUGUUCCAUAUAAUUGAGAAUGCAGUAUUUAUGCUUUAUACUCUACGUGUUCUACAUCAAACUAUGACCAGACCAUGAUUCUUCUUAUUUGCAAGUACUGUGUUUAUAAAAGAAGACUGAUUUCUCCACUUUUCCUAACGAUUUUGAAUAAGUAUUAUCAUUAUGAUUUUCAACAAAUUUUGAACUAAAAUUGGCAUUAAUUUAUUCUUCCUUUAUUUCUAAGGGGAGAAGCGGACCUUCUCUCACAGGUGGUGUUUCAUACGGCGGUUCCACAUCAGCAAAUAGAAGACAUGACAUGCAAUCACUUAUCGCUGCUGGGGUCCACCAUACUUGUGUCAAAAUCGGCAGUACGACACAGGCUAAGUUGACCAUCCCCCUAGAAGAAGGAGCCGCCCGCUACAUAUGACUCUGACUGACUGUCUGUGACUAACAGUCUCAAGCUUCUGCUCAUUUCCCUUUAUAUAGGUUGCACCCGAAAGAGAAAGUUUUCUUUCGGGGUGGGGGAACGAUUCCUUUUUUUAUAGAAGGCCUUUGCGCAUUUUUCCAAGUCCCAGGGUUUAUGGCAGGUGAUGUGGCCAAUACAUGCGCUUAACCCCUGGACCUUUCUUCACAGUCAUGUGCCGCUACAUUUAGUAAUAUGUUCCUUUAUGAAUUUCCUAAAUAUCAUUUUUACCUUUUUUGGGAUCUUUUUCUGCCCAACAUUACAAUUAUCAAAUUACAUCAAAUUGGUCCGGUAUUCCUCGUUUAGGUACAAUCCUUUCGUUCGGAAAUAAAAGGGUUAUUACUUACCUGGAUAUUUCCCCGUGACGAGGAUCCAUAGCGAGGAACAACCUGAAGUUCUCAUGAGGUUGCACGCAAGCCAUUCAAUCGGUCCAAAAUUGCUGGGCUGCAGAGAUUCACCUGGUCGAGCAGUAACCACGUGCCAUUUUGCAGACACUGCAAUGGAAAAUGGAAUUC